UCUGAAAAGCCGUUGCCUCCUCUCUCUCUCUCUCUCUCUCUCUCUCUCUCUCUCUCUCUAGUUUUCCACCCAUUUUUUUUCACUCCCUCUCGAGCCAUGGACGACAAACGAAGCAACGGCACCGCCGGCAGCGACGGCCCCGGCGGCGGGACCACCAAAACCACCACUCCCACCAGCGACAAUGCGAGCGCUAGCUAUGCCUGCAGCGGGUUCGUCGACACGAGCAAAGCGGAGAGAUCGAUAUGGCUCAUGAAGUGCCCGCCCGUCGUCUCCCGUUCUCUGUCCCCGGGGAGCCCGCCCGCCUUCGAAGGAGGCGGAGAUGGCGCCGCGCCCUCCGUCCCCGUCGCCAAGGUCAUCUUCUCCGUCGAUCUUCUUCACGGCGGCGAAGAUAACUCCGAGUUUAUAAUGGAAUUGGCUUCCACUGAAUCUGGAAACGUACCAAGGCGGUACUCCAUGGAGAUGUCUAAGGACUUUAUCCCGAUGUCUGUUUUUUCAGAGUCUUCUCAAGGAAAAAUCUCUGUGGAGGGCAAGAUCCUGCACAAAUUUGAUAUGAGGCCCCAUGGUGAGAACAUUGAGACUUAUGGAAAACUCUGUCGUGAACGAACAACCAAGUGUAUGAACAGAGCUAGACAGAUACAGGUGAUUGACCAUGAUACUGGCUCUCUUAUGAGGACUAUGGCAUUGAUGGAGAAGAAGAAAUUGCCAACUAAGAUGCCAGAAACGAAAAGAACAAGAAGAGAUCGUGGAGAGAUGGAGGAGAUCAUGUUUAAGCUCUUUGAAAGGCAACCAAAUUGGACUUUAAGACAAUUGAUCCAAGAAACUGACCAACCUGAACAAUUUUUGAAAGAUAUCCUGAAGGACCUCUGUGUCUACAAUAACAAGGGGCCCAAUCAAGGAACCUACGAGCUGAAGCCAGAAUACAAGAAAUCAAAUGGCGAACCAACUUCUGGCUAGGUUGUCAUACUCUGCCUAACUGUUCUGUUGAAAGAUGGUGAUUAAACUAAGAUUUUGCUCAUCUUUGCUCAUUUCGUCCUGAUAAAAUGAUAAUCGCCCCAGCAACUCUAUCCUGAUGAGUGAGGAGCAAUGGCGGUGAGUGAGUUAAUAGCCGAACUACCUCAUCCAUGUACAUAUCAGGGGGUUGCAACAUUUCUAAGUUCUUUUACAUCUUUGAAGAAGACAUUCUUCAGCAUAUUAUCCCUCAUUGUACUGUAAUUGAAGAAGCGUCGUACUUUAACUCCUCCUUAUUUGUAUCGAGCAUCCUUUCAAUAGAUUUAAACAAGAAUCGGAGACACUGUCUAGAAGG